AAAUGGCAAAUGCCUCUCCGGGUGACAGCGUCCAGAAACAAGCAGCCUCUCACCCGGUGAGUGUGACAGAAACCUCACCCACAGCCAUGGCUGACAUCUGAGAGGUUUUCCGGGCAGCCUCCUUGAAGAGGUGAAGAUGGGCUCUGAAACAUUGGUAUGAAGGAGGUGAGAAGAGGGGAAAGACCAGUACUGAGGAAAGAGCUUUGAGAACUGAAGGCAGAAGCAGCUUGAAAACUGGAUGUAGCAAAGUGAUGUGCGUUGCUUUUGAAAUAAGGAGGGGGGGGCACCAUAAAACUUAUUUUUGCUAGCCAGAAAGAAAUAGGAAAAGCCCCUCUUUCAAGCCUGUCUGCCGGCUUGUUCUGCCAGAUGGUUAUGAAGCCAGCUCAGACCGCGCUG
rnacentral:lncRNA from 1 species